UCCGGGUCGGGAGGCAGGGGGAGGGCUCCAGGAAGCAGCUCCCCUGUCCUCCCGCGCGAUGCUGUGUGGAGCGCAUUGCGCGGAGGACAGGGGAGCUGCUUCCUGGAGCCCUCCCCCUGCAGUGCUUAC